rnacentral:misc_RNA from 1 species
AGUAGUUUGGCUCAGACAUGAUUCAUUACAUGUAUGCAAAAAAGAAAACAAUAUACGCCAAGAAUGCCAUGAAUAGGCGGAAUAGAGAGACGAUCAGACGACAACUGUCAUUGGGCAACCAUGGGUAAGCAUCUGGAGGUGGCAUCACACAAUUAUCACCGUUAAAAUAAAUCCUCCUAGGGAAAGCCCAUCCCUUUUCAAAAGUGAAAGUUGAUUUGUCCUUUCGGAAAAGUAGCUCUGACUGUACAUUCCCCAAAGGGCCAGCUUGUGAGAGAAGAUCAUUGUAGAACUUGACUCCCCAUAACAUGGCAGUAUCAUUUAAUCCAUCAUAAGGAGUUAGUGAUUUAUAAUUAAAGCUAAAAAUCUGGGUGAGGUUAUCAAAGUUCGGGUGUUGCACAACUAUAUUCCACUGUGUGUAGUUCAUUCGGUAAUUGAAAUUUGUAAUUGUGACCUUCACCCGCCAAUACUCCUUGUAAUUGAGCUUAACAUGCCAAUGGACUCGGAUUGGACACAUAUGGCUAGUACACUGCACCAAAGGUGAAAGGUCAUUCUUGCCUGAACUGACCACAGAGGCUAAAUGUGGAGCAUCCGGAUCCACACAGCUCCCAGGUCCAUUUGUGCUGUUUUUACAGCCACAAGCACAAGUCGGGCAACCUACUAUUGUGUCAUUAUAGAAAGAGGACAGAGAAACACAACAGGUGGGUGUCUUCUGAGCCAGGAAUUGAGAAUACGUACAAGUAACGUUCCAGGUCAUUAAAGCUUGAGUGACUCUCCUUUUAUCUGAUGAAAUAAAUUUGGUUGCUCUCACAAUCUUUGCUGGCCCACAAGUGUAUCCAGGCCCUGGUGCUCUCAGGGUGAAGUUCUUUGGCAAUCUAACUGUUUUGUUAGAGGUUCCAGCAGCACCUACACUAACUUGGAAGGAGCUUACUGCAGUAGCAGCGUCCUGUGCCCAUGAGUUUAUUACUCCUCCUUUGCAGCAAUUUGCAAUCUGCUGGUU